AGUUAGCUGCUGGUGUUCUCCCUUGCCCAAACAGACUGGAAGCGGAGGAGAAGGAACCCUGUGGAUGAAAUCCAUACAGUUGAGUGCCUUGACUCCUUUAAGUUGUUUCAUAAUUUUGAUGGCUGCUGCUGCGCUGCUGCGAAGUCGCUUCAGUCAUGUCCAACUCUGUGCGACCCCAUAGACAGCAGCCCACCAGGCUCCUCUGUCCCUCUGUCCCUUGCCUGUCUCCAGGCAAGAAUACUGGAAAAUUUGAUUUCCCAGAAGUGACCAGGUGACAUACUUCUAACCAAUGAGAUGUAAGGGGAAAGUCUACUGGGUAGCUGCUGCUGCUGCUAAGUCGCUUCAGUCAUGUCCGACUC
ensembl:lncRNA